rnacentral:rRNA from 1 species
CCUACGGGAGGCAGCAGUGAGGAAUAUUGGUCAAUGGGAGAGAUCCUGAACCAGCCAAGCCGCGUGAGGGAAGACGGCCCUAUGGGUUGUAAACCUCUUUUGUCGGAGAACAAAACCCGGGACGUGUCCCGGACUGCGUGUAUCCGAAGAAAAAGCAUCGGCUAACUCCGUGCCAGCAGCCGCGGUAAUACGGAGGAUUCAAGCGUUAUCCGGAUUUAUUGGGUUUAAAGGGUGCGUGGGCGGUUCGAUAAGUUAGCGGUGAAAUCCCGGGGCUCAACUCCGGCACUGCCUCUGAUACCGUCGGG